UUAAAUAUUAGCUGCGGUACAACAGAUUCAAAAAAUGAGCUCGUAUACAUUAGCUGGGGUACAAUACACAAUGCAAAAAAUGAGCUCGUAUACAUUAGCUGGGGUACAAUAGACAAUGCAAAAACUGAGCUCUUAAAUAUUAGCUGCGGUUCAACAGAUUCCAAAAAUGAGCUCGUAUACAUUAGCUGCGGUUCAAUACACAAUGCAAAAAAUGAACUCAUACAUUAGCUGGGGUACAAUACACAAUGCAAAAAAUGAGCUCUUAAACAUUAGCUGGGGUACAAUACACAAUGCAAAAAAUGAGCUCUUGAACAUUAGCUGUGGUACAAUACACAAUGCAAAAACUGAGCUCUUAAAUAUUAGCUUCGGUACAACAGAUUCAAAAAAUGAGCUCGUAUACAUUAGCUGCGGUACAAUACACAAUGCAAAAAAUGAGCUCUUGAACAUUAGCUGGGGUACAAUACACAAUGCAAAAACGGAGCUCUUAAAUAUUAGCUGCGGUACAACAGAUUCAAAAAAUGAGCUCGUAUACAUUAGCUGCGGUACAAUACACAAUGCAAAAAAUGAGCUCUUGAACAUUAGCUGGGGUACAAUACACAAUGCAAAAACUGAGCUCUUAUAUUUUAGCUGCGGUACAACAGAUUCAAAAAAUGAGCUCGUAUACAUUAGCUGGGGUACAAUACACAAUGCAAAAAAUGAGCUUGUAUACAUUAGCUGGGGUACAAUACACAAUGCAAAAACGGAGCUCUUAAAUAUUAGCUGCGGUACAACAGAUUCAAAAAAUGAGCUCGUAUACAUUAGCUGCGGUAAUAUAGACAAUGCAAAAAAUGAGCUCAUACAUUAGCUGGGGUACAAUACACAAUGCAAAAAUGGAGCUCUUAAAUAUUAGCUGGGGUACAACAGGUUAAAAAAAUGAGCUCGUAUACAUUAGCUGCGGUACAAUACACAAUGCAAAAAAUGAACUCGUAUACAUUAGCUUGGGUAAUAUACACAAUGCAAAAGAUGAGCUCUUAAACAUUAGCUGUGAUACAACACAUGCAAAAAUUGAGCUCGUAUACAUUAGCUGCGGUUCAAUACAAUGCAAAAAAUGAGCUCUUAUACAUUAGCUGGGGUACAAUACACACUGCAAAAACUGUGCUCUUAAAUAUUAGCUGCACUACAACAGAUUCAAAAAAUGAGCUCGUAUACAUUAGCUGCGGUACAAUACACAAUGCAAAAAAUGAGCUCUUAUACAUUAGCUGGGGUACAAUACACAAUGCAAAAAAUGAGCUCUUAGAUAUUAGCUGUGAUAAAACAGAUGCAAAAACUGAGCUCUUAAAUAUUAGCUGUGGUAUACAAAAAAUGAGCUCGUAUACAUUAGCUGGGGUAUAAUGCACAAUGCAAAAAAUGAGCUCUUAUACAUUAGCUGGGGUAUAAUGCACAAUGCAAAAAGUGAGCUCUUCAAUUUUAGCUGCGGUACAACAGAUACAAAAAAUGAGCUCAUAUACAUUAGCUGGGGUACAAUACACACUGUAAAAAAUGAGCUCUUAUACCUUAGCUGGGGUACAAUACACACUGCAAAAACUGAGCUCUUAAAUAUUAGCUGCACUACAACAGAUUCAAAAAAUGAGCUCGUAUACAUUAGCUGCGGUACAAUACACAAUGCAAAAAAUGAGCUCUUAUACAUGAGCUGGGGUACAAUACACAAUGCAAAAAAUGAGCUCUUAAAUAUUAGCUGUGAUAAAACAGAUGCAAAAACUGAGCUCUUAAAUAUUAGCUGUGGUAUACAAAAAAUGAGCUCGUAUACAUUAGCUGGGGUAUAAUGCACAAUGCAAAAAAUGAGCUCUUAUACAUUAGCUGGGGUAUAAUGCACAAUGCAAAAAGUGAGCUCUUCAAUUUUAGCUGCGGUACAACAGAUACAAAAAAUGAGCUCAUAUACAUUAGCUGGGGUACAAUACACACUGUAAAAAAUGAGCUCUUAUACCUUAGCUGGGGUACAAUACAUCCUCUCCCUGCACAGCUUUCAACUUGGGUGGAACACGUUGGCUGGAACACGUUGGCUGGAACACGUUGGCUGGAACACGUUGGCUGGAACACACUUGACAUGUGUAGUACAUUAGCUUUAACACAUUAGCUGUAACACAUUAGACCUAAUACAUUAGCUGCGGUACAACAGAUACAAAAAAUGAGCUUGUAUACAUUAGCUAGGGUAAAAUAGACAAUGCAAAAACUGAGCUCUUAAAUAUUAGCUGCGGUUCAACAGAUUCAAAAAAUGAGCUCGUAUACAUUAGCUGCGGUUCAAUACAAUGCAAAAAAUGAACUCUUACAUUAGCUGGGGUACAAUACACAAUGCAAAAAAUGAGCCUGUAUACAUUAGCUGGGGUACAAUACACAAUUCAAAAACGGAGCUCUUAAAUAUUAGCUGCGGUACAACAGAUUCAAAAAAUGAGAUCUUAAACAUUAGCUGGGGUACAAUACACAAUGCAAAAAAUGAGCUCGUAUACAUUAGCUGGGGUACAAUAGACAAUGCAAAAAAUGAGCUCUUAAAUAUUAGCUGCGGUUCAACAGAUUCAAAAAAUGAGCUCGUAUACAUUAGCUGCGGUUCAAUACAAUGCAAAAAAUGAACUCAUACAUUAGCUGCGGUACAAUACACAAUGCAAAAAAUGAGAUCUUAAACAUUAGCUGGGGUACAAUACACAAUGCAAAAACGGAGCUCUGAAAUAUUAGCUGCGGUAAAACAGAUUCAAAAAAUGAGCUCGUAUACAUUAACUGCGGUAAUAUACACAAUGCAAAAAAUGAGCUCUUAUACAUUAGCUGGGGUACAAUACACAAUGCAAAAAAUGAGCUCUUAAAUAUUAGCUGCGGUUCAAUACACAAUGCAAAAAAUGAACUCUGAUACAUUAGCUGGGGUACAAUACACAAUUCAAAAAAUGAGCUCUUAAACAUUAGCUGGGGUACAAUACACAAUGCAAAAACGGAGCUCUUAAAUACUAGCUGCAGUACAACAGAUUCAAAAAAUGAGCUCGUAUACAUUAGCUGGGGUACAAUACACAAUGCAAAAAAUGAGCUCGUAUACAUUAGCUGGGGUACAAUACACAAUGCAAAAAAUGAGCUCGUAUACAUUAGCUGCGGUACAAUACACAAUGCAAAAACGGAGCUCUUAAACAUUGGCUGUGAUACAACACAUGCAAAAACUGAGCUCUUAAAUAUUAGCUGCGGUAUACAAAAAAUGAGCUCGUAUACAUUAGCUGGGGUACAAUACUCAAUGCAAAAAAUGAGCUCAUACAUUAGCUGGGGUACAAUACACAAUGCAAAAACGGAGCUCUUAAAUACUAGCUGCAGUACAACAGAUUCAAAAAAUGAGCUCGUAUACAUUAGCUGGGGUACAAUACACAAUGCAAAAAAUGAGCUCGUAUACAUUAGCUGCGGUACAAUACACAAUGCAAAAAUGGAGCUCUUAAAUAUAAGCUGCUGUACAACAGAUUCAAAAAAUGAGCUCGUAUACAUUAGCUGCGGUUCAAUACACAACGCAAAAAAUGAGCUCUUAAACAUUGGCUGUGAUACAACACAUGCAAAAACUGAGCUCUUAAAAUUAGCUGCGGUAUACAAAAAAUGAGCUCGUAUACAUUAGCUGCGGUACAAUACACAAUGCAAAAAAUUAGCUCUUAAACAUUAGCUGUGAUACAACAGACGCAAAAAGUGAGCUCUUAAAUAUUAGCUGCGGUAUACAAAAAUGGUUCAAGUUCUGAAUAAAAACCACGUUGAAAGCUGUGCAUGUAGGCUGCAGCGAGGUGUGCAGGGAGAGGUUCCAGCUAAAGCUAUCUGAUUACAGGUGUCGGCGGAGCAAGCGAGCGAACGAAGGGCGGCGGAGCCAGCGAGUGAGCGAGCGAAGGGCGGCGGAGCGAGCAAGCGAGCCAAGGGCGGCGGAGCGAGCGAGCGAGCCAAGGGCGGCAGAGCGAGCGAGCGAACGGACACCUGUGAUGAAAUAGCUUUAGCUGGAUCCUCUCCCUGCACAGCUUUCAACUUGGCUGGAACAUUUUGGCUGGAACACUUUGGCUGGAACACCUGGGCUGGAACACACUUGACAUUAAUAGUACAUUAGCUUUAAGACAUUAUCUGUAACACAUUAGAUCUAAUUCAUUAGCUGUGGUACAAUAGAUACAAAAAAUGAACUCGUAUACAUUGGCUGCGGUACAAUAUAUGCAAAAAAAUGAGCUCUUAGACAUUAGCUGCGGUACAAUAGAUGCAAAAACCGAGCUCUUAGACAUUAGCUGCGGUACAACAGAUGCAAAAAAAAUGAGCUCAGCCAUUAGCUGUGGUACAAUAGAUGCAAAAAUCGAGCUCUUGGACAUUAGCUGCGGUACAACAGAUGCAAAUAAUGAGCUCUUAUACAUUAGCUGUGGUAGAACAGAUGCAAAAAAUGACCUCAAACAUUAUCUGCGGUACAAUACACAAUGCAAAAACUGAGCUCUUAUACAUUAGCUGGGGUACAAUACCCACUGGUCGCACACCGACAGAUCCAACUCGCUGGCUGCACUCCACUGCCUGUAACACAGAAGAUGCAGUACAUUAGCUCUCAGACAUUCGCUAUAGUAUAUUAACUGUAGUUCAUUAGCUGUAACACAUCUGCUGCAAUACAUUAACAGCAAUACACUAGCUGUGGUAUAUUAGCUGUAGAAUAAUAGCUGCAGUACAUUACAUAUACACUGUUUUUUAAGAGCUAAUUCUCUAAAACAGUUGUCGGCUGCCAAAACCUAUCCUGCAACAAAAGAGCUAUUCACACUACUUUGGAUUUAUAAUGUGAUAAAUAGACAUCUCUAAAAACCUCUCUCUCUCAAACAAAACCUUCUGAUUAUUACGCAAAUGAGGACAUUUUAAAAUAUUAUUUGAGAUGAUUUAUUGUAGGCUCUUUUUGUGGAUUUUAUGGCUUGUGCAGUUAUAGAUCUACAAGUAGGAUGUGCCAUCUUGUAUUGUACUACAAAUAUUGUAAAUAAUAAAUAAAUACAAUGGCCGGUUGUUAGUUUAUACACUAUUAAUCUCAUUUAACAUACUGUAGUAAACAUCAGCAGCUGAAGAGUGAGAGGAUGUAACAAAAUUAUGAGAAAUCAAAGGUAAUGUGCAAUAUUGCGCAAUGUUAAGUGAAGAGCAGUUUAUUUCAAAUCAACUGGUUAAAGGUGGUGACACAACAGUACCUGUUCAGCCAACUACACAAGGAGGUCUACACAACACACACACACACACACACAAGACAGAAAAAGGGACCCAACGGACACAUAACAGACACACAGACAUGACAGACACAACAGAAACACAACACACACAACAGACACAACAGAAACACAACACACACAACAGACACACAACAGAGACACAUUACCUGCUCAACUGGCUACACAAAGAGGUGAACACAACACACACACAAUACAGAUACAACAGACACACAUCAGAGACACAACUUAUGGCUUAUGCAGUUAUAGAUCUACAAGUAGGAUGUGCCAUCUUGUACUACAAACACAGUAAAUGAUAAAUAAUAAACAAUGGCCGGUCGUUAGUUUAUACACUAUUAAUCUCACUUAACACACUGUACUAAACUUCAGCAGUUGAAGAGAGAGGAGAUGUAAUGAAAUUAUGAAAAAUCAGGGGUAAUGCUGUGCAAUAUUAUGCAAUAUUAAGUGAAGAGCAGUUUAAUUCAAACCGGUGGAUGUUGAACUUUGUUGCAGCUGAAUGGGUUUCAGUUAACUUUAAAGUGAAAUAACUUUUUUGAGAGAUACAAGCUGAGAAGCUCACGCUAAUAAUGAUAGACAACUGCAGCAGUAAUUAACACAAGUAUUCAGAAGCCAAGUUAACUCGCUAGCUAAAUUAGCCGUUGAACACCAGUGCUACUUUAGCCCGCUAGCUAAAUUAGCCUGCUAGCUAAAUUAGCCCGCUAGCUCAAUUAGCCCGCUAGCUCAAUUAGCCCGCUAGCUCAAUUAGCCCGCUAGCUCAAUUAGCCUCUUAGUCUGGACCAACUGCAGUCCAAAAGCGCUCAAACAUGACAAAACACAACUCUUGACAUGUCGCUAACUUAAUGUAUAACAACACAACACUACUGGUUAAAAGAAUUUAUCUUCUUACCGUAUGUAACGCCAAAAGCACUGCCAGCAGCAACUUCGCUGCGGACGACGACGACGUGCCCUGAUGUGCCCUGAUGUGCCUGAUGUGUCCAGAUGUGUCCUGAUGUGGCGUCAACGAAGCUGCAUCUGCCGGCUGAGCAGAAACACCGAGUUUAUAUAGAGAGCGGCGGAGCUUCGGCUGCUGAUUGGUCCAGAGCAGGCAGCGUGAUCGAUGACGUCACCAUUUUGGCGCCAAUGCUCGGAUUUGCUACUAGCGCCGUUUGGUAUAUUGUGUUACCUAUUUAGCUAGCCGUGUUCUGUAUAUUUUGUUAGCCGGUUAGCUAGCCCUGUUCUGUAUAUUUUGUUAGCCGGUUAGCUAGCCCCGUUCUGUAUAUUUUGUUAGCCGGUUAGCUAGCCCUGUUCUGUAUAUUUUGUUGGCCGGUUAGCUAGCCCUGUUCUGUAUAUUUUGUUAGCCGGUUAGCUAGCCUUGUUCUGUAUAUUUUGUUAGCCAUUUAGCUAGCUCUGUUCUGUAUAUUUUGUUGGUCGGCCAACAGAUAAGACUUUAAACCAGCGGGACAUGUGGAACAGAAAGUGUUUUCUGAGCUCCACAGCGGCUCACACUGCAGUAGCAAAGUUGGACAGAGUUUUGCUAGCUUAGCCUGUGACAGCAUAUUAAAUCCAGCUGCACUAGCAUUUUUGGUUUCCUCAUUUUUAACUGUUAAGGUUCAUUUUAGUGGCCUUUGUCAAGUGCAAGCGGACACAAUUGCUGGAUAUCAGUCAACAGUUAGGACACACAUUCUCAUUCAGUGGUUUUUAUUGAUUUUAAUUACUGUCCACUUUGUAAGUGAAUACUGGAGACAACAAAACUGAAAGAACACAUAUGGAAUUAUGUAGUGUACUGAAAAAAUGUUAAACCAGAUUAUGUUUUAUAUUUUAGAUUCUUUAAAGCAGCCCCCUUUCUGCUUUGAUGACAGCUUUGCACACUCUUGGCAUUCUCUCCAUCAGCUUCAUGAGGUCUCCUGGAUGGUUUUCCAACAGCCUUGAAGGACUUCCCAGGGGUGCUGAUGGAGUUUCUUCUCAAUGGAGAUGUUGAGGUGGAUUUGUUGUGUUCCAGAGGCUGAUGUGAACAGAAAGCAAUUUUUCUCAAGGAUGUAGAUGUGGUUGAUGUGAACAUGACGAAGAAUCACAGCAACGUGUGAACAAUAAAGGUCAGAUCAGACUUUACUGUUCCUGUGGGGAGAAGUUGUCAUGUUUCAGCUCUGCUCUGGAUGUGAGCAGCUGCCACUGCAGCCUCUGACUGGAUACAAUGGACUUGGACUAAGAGAAACAUGUCAGAUGUUGACGAGCUUUUCAGUUUUUAGAUCGAGUGUUGAGGUGAAGCAACUGUCCCAAAGCUGGACAGGUUUCCUCCAAUCAGAGCUGAGUGUGUUUGUCAUGUGACUAAGAGGAAGGAGGCGAACUAAUGUGUGACUCUCCCAGCAGGUUGUUAUGUUUGUCUGCUAUGCAUCAGGGUGAGGACAGAGAGGAGGGAAGAUCUCUGUGUGGGGAACAGGAGAACCAGAGCAAAGCUCAGAGGGGAGAUGAGCAUCUCUAACUGUCAGAGCUCAGCAUCACAUCACUGCUGUCAUUAUUCACACUCACAGCUCUGUGUGUUGAAGCCCAGAGCAGCAGAACACACACUCUACUGGACCUGGACCUGGACCUGGACCUGGACCUGGGCUUGGACCUGGACCUGGACCUACCUGGAUCCAGCUGUGUGUCCAUGAAGAGUGACUGGUCAAAGGAGCAUCCCCUUCAUUUCAGACGAUCUGCAGGUGGAAGAGGAUCCAGCAGCAGAGACCAGACUGUCCUGAACCCAGCUGUCUGUCCUUCAAGAUUGACCAGUCGAAGGAUGAAUUAAUUAACUUUUAAGACGUCUGUCCAACUGCUGAUCAGAUGUAAGCUGGAACUGACAGAAAGAGUCACUGAUUCUAGAACAGAACCAGUUUGUACGACGUGUUGUCUGACCUGCUCUGAAAUCCAAAGUGUUUCUGACUGUUGUGAACGUCCACGUCACAGCGAGGUGGUUUAAAUGUGGAGAUAACUGUUUCCAUUUUCAGAGCCGACCCUCUUGAACGAGAUCUACACAGAGCUGUACAUCACAGAGGGAGGGACUGCAGAGGUCAGUGAUAAACACGAGGUCAGACAGAUUGAAGCAGCAGCCAGAGCAGAAGCAAGCAUCAGACCAGAAGAGAUCUUUAAAGGCUCACCUGGAAGAGAUGGACCAAUCAGAACAGUGAUGACACAGGGAGUGGCUGGCAUCAGGAAAACUGUGUUAACACAGAAGUUAACUCUGGACUGGGCUGAAGACAAAAGCAACCAGGACAUCCAGCUCAUGUUUCCAUUGACUUUCAGAGAGCUGAAUGUGGUGAAAAAGAGAAAAUUCAGCUUGGUGGAACUUGUUCAUCACUUCUUUAGUGAAACCAAAGCAGCAGGAAUCUGCAGCUUUGAACACUUCCAGGUUGUGUUGAUCUUUGACGGUCUGGAUGAGUGUCGCCUUCCUCUGGACUUCCACAACAAUGAGAUGCUGACUGAUGUUAGAGAGUCCACCUCAGUGGAUGUGCUGCUGACAAACCUGAUCAGGGGGAAGCUGCUUCCCUCUGCUCGCCUCUGGAUAACCACACGACCUGCAACAGCCAAUCAGAUCCCUCCUGACUGUGUGGACAUGGUGACAGAGGUCAGAGGAUUCACCGACCCACAGAAAGAGGAGUACUUCAGGAAGAGAUCCAGAAAUAAGAAGCAGGCCAGCAGCAUCAUCUCCCACAUGAAGACAUCACGAAGCCUUCACAUCAUGUGCCAUAUCCCAGUGUUCUGCUGGAUCACUGCUACAGUUCUGGAGGAGCUGCUGAGAACCAGAGAGGGAGGAGAUCUGCCCAGAACCCUGACUGAGAUGUUCAUCCACUACCAAAGUCAAGAAGGUCAAGUAUGAUGGAGGAGCUGAGACAGAUCCACACUGGAGUCCAGACAGCAGGAGGAUGAUUGAGUCUCUGGGAAAACUGGCUUUUAAUCAGCUGCAGAAAGGAAACCUGAUCUUCCAUGAGUCCAACCUGACAGAGUGUGGCAUCAGUAUGAGAGCAGCCUCAGUGUAGUCAGGAGUGUUGACACAGAUCUUUAGAGAGGAGAGAGGGUUGUACCAGGACAAGGUGUUCUGCUUCGUCCAUCUGAGCGUUCAGGAGUUUCUGGCUGCUCUUCAUGUCCAUCAAACCUUCAUCAACUCUGGAAUCAACCUGCUGGAAGAAGA